GACCGCCCUCGAGACGGCCGCUUCUGGGCUAAGAUUGGUUGACAUGGCGACUGUGCCGCCGCUGUGGCGGAAGCGUCUCCAGGCUUCUUCUCUCAUUGGGCGUACUUCGCGUCGAUCAAAGAAACCUCUCUGCCGGGAUUUGUUCGCUCUGGUCCUCUGUUCCAGUGCUGUCAGCUGCUUGUACGCAUGGUGUGCCGGGGGCCUCGCCCCCCAUCCAUCUUCCAGGCCUCCACGACCAAGCCAAGGUUUGUGGAGCUCUCUUGGUAUUUAAUGUGUCUACUUGUUUAUCUCUCCUUCCAGACAGUAAGGCUGGCGUCCUUAAAAGCAGAGGUACAGAUUGACAGAUUUUACCGUAUGAAACUGAGGCAUUUCUGUAUGGCAAAGACUACAGUAAGCGAAGUAAACAAGCACACAAAUCAAAAGCAUGGGACUGGAGAUAACUAUGUUACAUGAUGAGAGGAUCUUCUGUUUGUGAUGGAUAACUGUCUCUUCACAUACUUCCAGACAACACCGCACAAAUGACUUUCUGGUCCCAAGAGAGAAAAUGUAACUUUACCAGUAUAAUCUGAUGGUAUAAAUUAGCGUUGCUAGUUAGGGAAUUACCAGAGAUUAUCUGUCUGCUGAUGUAAUUCAGUAUGAAGCACACAACCUACAUCAUUUAACCAAGAAUGUGUAACUUGAACUUAAACAAUAAUACCUAAUUUGCCUUUUAUAGGAAAUGUAGGAGACAAAGAAAACACUUAAAAAAAAAAAAAAAAAGACACCACAAGGAAA